UCCCUGCCCUUUGUACACACCCGUCGCUCCUACCGAUUGAAAUGAUCCGGUGAAGUGUUCGGAUCGCGGCGACGUGGCGGUUCGCUGCCCGCGACGUCGCGAGAAAGUCCACUGAACCUUAUCAUUUAGAGGAAGAGAAGUCGUAACAAGGUUUCCGUAGGUGAACCUGCGGAAGGAUCAUUG
rnacentral:ncRNA from 1 species